AAAAACUCUCCAAGGCUGAGGAUGGGCCUCAGACCCCUCUCCGAGACCUGGUAAAAAUGGCCUUUAAGGUUUAUAACCCCCGAGAGGAAGCCACCAAAGCCAGCCGCAAGGCAAGGCUUAAACAAAAAGCCGAACUCCAGACUAACCUCCUUGAGGGACACACCCAGACACUGGUAGCAGCCCUGCGGCCGGCCACGGGACAAAAGGUGGGUCCCCAGAAGCCACCGCCGGGAGCCUGCUUCAAAUGUGGUCAUGAGGGCCACUGGGCCCACCAAUGCCCAGACCCCCGACCCCCGACAAAGCCAUGCCCUCGUUGCAAACAACCAGGACAUUGAGCGAGUGAUCGUCCCCAGGCGACUCAGGCCCUGGCCUUACCGGGCCAAGGUCUGGGCUCCCAAAAGGACAUUUCCUGGCUGCACCCCACCUUAGAACUUCUCUCCUUUGAUGAAGAUUGACGGCACCCAGACUCGGGGACCCCCAUGACCCAAGCUGAGCCCAGGGUAAUGCUUCAAGUGGCGGGUAAGUCUAUCGAUUUCUUGAUAGAUACGGGGGGGCUACUUACUCGGUCCUUCCCUCCUUCGGGGACACCUUGCAUCCUUCCCAGGUGUUGGUGGUGGCUAUAGAUGGCACAUCUUCACAACCCUUGCAGACUGGGCCACAGCCCUGUCAGCUUGAUCACUUCCUGUUCACACACUUUUCUGAUAAUCCCUUCAUGCCCCACUCCCCUGCUGGGACGGGACAUUUUAGCUAAGCUUGGGACCACCAUUCACCUACCUCUCUCAUUUUCCCAAUCUCUCACCUUGCCCCUACUCCUCCUCUGCUCCCCUGAGGCUCCAGUUGUCGACACUACCAUCUGGGACACUGAAAUCCCUCUGGUAACAACCCAUCACACCCCAGUCCUGAUUAAACUACGUGAUCUUUCCCGCUUCCCAAGCUGCCCUCAAUUCCCCAUCUCUCAGACUCACCUACGGGGUCUUAAACCAAUCAUAGACCAUCUCUUGGGCCAGGGUUUCCUAGUCCCCAUGACCUUGCCCUGCAAUACCCCCAUUCUCCCGGUGCGGAAAACUUCUGGCGCCUACCGAUUGGUCUAGGACCUUUGACUGAUAAACGAGGCCGUAAUCCCUGCUUAUCUGAUUGUCCCCAAUCCCUAUACCUUACUUUCCAACAUCCCUAGCAGUACGACUCACUUUACUGUCAUAGACCUCAAAGAUGCCUUUUUUCACUAUUCCCUUACACCCAGACUGCCAGUUCCUCUUUGCUUUUACAUGAACCGACCCAGAAACCCGACAGUCCUCCCAGCUAACAUGGACGGUCCUCCCCUAAGGGUUUAGAGACAGCCCCCAUUUUUUUGGCCAGGCUCUGGCCUGGGAUCUGGCUACGUGCCCUUUGGCCCCUAGUGUCCUCUUACAGUAUGUGGAUGACCUUCUGCUCUGCAGCCCCUCACAAGCUCUCUCUCAGACACAUACCACUAUUUUUCUUAACUUCCUUAACUCUAAAAGAUACGAAGCAUCUCAACAAAAGGCCCAACUCACCCAGACCUCUGUGACUUACCUGCAUCUAAAGAUUACCCCGACAACCAAGGCUCUGACUACUGACAGACUCAGCGUCCUCGGAGACCUCUGCCCCCUUCCACUGGAGAACAAAUCUUGUCCUUUUUGGGGAUAACAAGAUUCUUCCGACACUGGGUCCCCAACUAUACUUCCUUGGCUAAACCCCUCUACGCAGCCACAAAAGACACUCCUACUGGACUGCUCUCUUCAGAAACAGAGGUCCAGGAGGCUUUCUACAACCUUCACUCAGCUUUGCUGUCCUCUUCCCCACUCUUCCUGCCCAAUCCCAACCUCCCCUAUCACCUGUACACUAAUAAAAAAGGGGGGCAUAACCUUUGGAGCCCUCAUACAGCCUGCGGGCCCUAAAAUGCUGCCAGUGACAUUCAUCUCCAAACAGUUAGACCCCACCGCCCGGGGAUGGUUCCCCUGCCUAUGUACCCUGGCAGCAGCAGCUUCUCUAUACGCAGAUGCAAAAAAGCUAAUUCUAGAUCAACCCCUAACUAUAUUCUCACCACACCACCUGGCUGACCUCCUGGCUUCCAAAUUCCUGUCAGGCCUUAGCGACUCUCGGCUCCAACAAUUCCACCUGGUCUUUCUGGAUAACCCCCAGGUUACUUUGGGCCGCAGCUCCCAGCUAAACCCCCUAUCUUCUCUCCCCUCGCUUCCAACCUGUCCUUCAGGCAAAGACACAGAACCUCACUCAUGCACAGAGGUCCUGGACACUCUUACCCAACUGCCCCUGAACCUUUUUGCUACUCCGCUGCAAAACCCAGACCUCACGCUGUUUGUAAAUGGCAGUUCAAAAUGAGACCCUACCGGUCAUCAGGCAGCUGCAUAUGCAGUUGUGACCACCAAGGACAUCCUCGAGGCUCGCCUGCUACCGGAGGGAACCACCUCCCAAAAGGCAGGACUAAUAGCGCUCACUAGAGCCUUACACCUGGCAACGGGAAAACAGGUUAACAUCUACACUGACUCCAAAUAUGCCUUUUUGAUUGCACAUUCACAUUCAGCUAUUUGGAGAGAGAGGGGAUUCCUCACCACCAAGGGAUCACCCAUCUCUAAUGCCCCCCUAAUCACCAAGCUCCUGAGGCCAUCUCACAGCCCAUCCAGGUAUCCAUCCUACACUGCAAAGGACAUCAGACGACUCACAACACAGUUUCCCUAGGCAACAAUAAGGCUGACCAGGUGGCCAGACAGAUAGCCUUACAACAGGGGCCUCUGCCUACACUAUUUCUCAGGACCUCCCUUACACUUAACUACUCAAAGGCCAAAAUAGAGACCCUCCUCUCACAGGAGGGCACUUCCAAACACCGCUCGGGAUGGAUCACGCUCCACGACAAACUAGUCCUACCCGAAAAACAGGCAAUGUCCAUUAUCACCCAGAUCCAUGACUCUACACAUUGGGCCCCGUGCACUCUUGACCUUCCUUAGCCCUCUCUUUUCUCCAUUACAUCUCUGACCUACUAUUCAGGCAGUCCAUCAAUGCUGCCUAAUCUGUGCCAAGACCUCUCCUCAAGGAAGACUCAGGCCGCCACAAGAAACUCACCAGUGAGGGGACACCUGCCAGGACAGGAUUGGCAGAUAGACUUUAUUCACGUGCCUAGACAUCAGACCUUCUGAUAUAUGCUGGUCUGUGUUGACACUUUUUCUAGAUGGGUAAAAGCAUUCCCCACUGCCCAGGAGACAGCCGAUACCGUCGCCAACACUCUCUUAACACACCUCGUUCCACAGCCUCAAUCAUCAGGCAAGGUGAAACGGGCUAACGGCAUCCUCAAGGCUCAUCUGACCAGGUUAAUGGCAGAACUUCGUCUCUCCUGGGUCGAUCUCCCGCCAGCAGCCCUGACCCACAUAAGGACAACUCCUCAUGCCAAGAUGGAUUUGAGACCUUUUGAACUGCUGUACGAUGGUGGAAGUCGUCUUGGACAAAAUGGCAUCUCCUGCUUCUCGGACCCCUAGCAGCCUAGCUCCUCAUCCUGUGGAUAGGACCUUGUAUUUUUCAGAUCAUGCUCCGGAGGGUCAGGGAGCUGACCCAGACGGCUACUGGACAGAUGUUGAUGGUGGCCGCAUACUCCAGACUCCCGUCCAGAGACCCUGAGGGCCCCUAAAGGUCACCGGGAUCUGGCCAUGACCCUCAGCCCCAGCGAUGCCCCAGGUCAGCGGAAAGUAGCCAGAAGCAAUAACGGCACCCCUUAUCCUAUCAAAAGGGUUAGAAUGUAAGGCCAGACCCCGGACCAUGUUGGGCCGCCCUUCCUCUCUCCCACUGGUGGGGGAGGUCCCUAAGGAAAGGAGCCUCCCAGAACCCGGGGACCAAUGACAGCACACUUCGCCAGCUAAAGCCGCCCCACCCCAACCACGUAAAAGGACCUAUCAGCCCGCAACUCCUCGGCCUGGCGACCUAUCCGAACCCCGACCAUUAACGGUAGGUUUUUUGGGCAAUCUAGCCUGACCAUCCCCCACAACGAACACAUAGAAACCACUCCCCAGCACAGUCCGGGCGCGGACUUCCUCGACCUGCCUCCUUUGGGUCGGG